CUGAAUUAUUCUUUUUUGUAAUAUAAAAAGAAUUCUUUCAAACACCUGUGAACUUUUUAUAACAUUUUGCCUUGGGUUUUUCAGAGACCUAGUUUUUGAAAAGCCCAAAGGAUUUAAUAAAAACACCUUUAUUUUUUAAACGUUAUUGUCUGAAAAAUGAUUAUAUUAAUAAAUCA
rnacentral:misc_RNA from 1 species